CGUUGCUAAUACCGCAUACGACCUGAGGGUGAAAGCAGGGGACCGGCAAGGCCUUGCGUCGAUGGAGCGGCCGAUGCCGGAUUAGCUAGUUGGUGAGGUAAAGGCUUACCGAGGCGACGAUCCGUAGCUGGUCUGAGAGGACGACCAGCCACACUGGGACUGAGACACGGCCCAGACUCCUACGGGAGGCAGCAGUGGGGAAUCUUGGACAAUGGGCGCAAGCCUGAUCCAGCAAUGCCGCGUGUGGGAAGAAGGCCUUCGGGUUGUAAACCACUUUUGGCAGGAAAGAAAUCGUCCGUGCUAAUACCAUGGAUGGAUGACGGUACCUGCAGAAUAAGCACCGGCUAACUACGUG
rnacentral:rRNA from 1 species